GAUGAACGCUAGCGAUAGGCUUAACACAUGCAAGUCGAGGGGCAGCGAGGGUAGCAAUACCUGUCGGCGACCGGCGCACGGGUGAGUAACGCGUAUGUAACCUGCCCGCAACAGGGGGAUAACCCGGCGAAAGUCGGACUAAUACCGCAUAAAACAGGGGUCCCGCAUGGGAAUAUUUGUUAAAGAUUUAUCGGUUGCGGAUGGGCAUGCGUACCAUUAGGUAGUUGGUGAGGUAACGGCUUACCAAGCCUUCGAUGGUUAGGGGUUCUGAGAGGAAGGUCCCCCACACUGGUACUGAGACACGGACCAGACUCCUACGGGAGGCAGCAGUGAGGAAUAUUGGUCAAUGGGCGAGAGCCUGAACCAGCCAAGUCGCGUGAAGGAUGACUGCCCUAUGGGUUGUAAACUUCUUUUACAAGGGAAUAAAAUGAGAUACGUGUAUUUUAUUGCAUGUACCUUGGGAAUAAGCAUCGGCUAACUCCGUG
rnacentral:rRNA from 1 species